UACGUAGGUGGCGAGCGUUAUCCGGAUUUAUUGGGUUUAAAGGGAGCGUAGGCGGUUUUGUAAGUCAGCGGUGAAAGACGGUCGCUCAACGAUCGCAUUGCCAUUGAUACUGCAAGGCUAGAGUACAGUAGAGGUAGGCGGAAUUUAUGGUGUAGCGGUGAAAUGCAUAGAUACCAUAAAGAACACCGAUUGCGAAGGCAGCUUACUAGACUGUAACUGACGCUGAGGCUCGAAAGUGCGGGUAUCAAACAGG
rnacentral:rRNA from 1 species